rnacentral:rRNA from 1 species
AUUGAACGCUGGCGGCACGCCUAACACAUGCAAGUCGAGCGGCAGCGCGAUAUGUAGCAAUACAUAUUGGCGGCGAGCGGCGGACGGGUGAGGAACACGUAGGAACCUACCCUCGAGUGGGGGAUAACCAAGGGAAACUUUGGCUAAUACCGCAUGAAUUCGAGAGAGCAACGCUGCCGCAAGGUGGCGCUCGAGGAGGGGCCUGCGUCCGAUUAGCUAGUUGGUGAGGUAAGAGCUCACCAAGGCGAUGAUCGGUAACUGGUCUGAGAGGACGGCCAGUCACACUGGGACUGAGACACGGCCCAGACUCCUACGGGAGGCAGCAGUGGGGAAUAUUGGACAAUGGGGGCAACCCUGAUCCAGCGAUGCCGCGUGAGUGAAGAAGGCCUUCGGGUCGUAAAGCUCUUUAGGUUGGGAAGAAGGGUGAUGGAGGAAAUGCUAUCACUUUGACGGUACCGACAGAAUAAGCACCGGCAAACUCUGUGCCAGCCGCCGCAGUAAAAC